rnacentral:lncRNA from 1 species
GAUAAGGCGCCUGGCUCCUGCAUAAUCUGGGCCGCUGCUCGCUCGCAUGCUCAGCUCAGUCAUUUGCUCUCUCCACGUCAUGUCUCGCUCAGCUCAGUCAGUUGUUCUCUCUAAAUAAUGUCUCGCUCAGCUCAGUCAGUUGCUCUCUCCAGGUAAUGUCUCGCUCAGCUCAGUCAGUUGCUCCCUCCACGUCAUGUCUCGCUCAGCUCAGUCAGUUGCUCCUUCAGCGUCUCGCUCAGCUCGGUCAGUUGCUCCCUCCACGUCUCGCUCAGCUCAGUCAGUUGCUCCUUCAGUGUCUCGCUCAGCUCAGUCAGUUGCUCCUUCAGCGUCUCGCUCAGCUCGGUCAGUUGCUCCCUCCACGUCUCGCUCAGCUUGGCUUAGGCUAUACAGGCCCUGUGCUGUAUCUGGAGGUGGUAAUGCUGUCCACUAAUGGUGACCAACCCUGGCCCUGGAGAGCUACUGUAGUGGGUUAUGGAUGGUUUUUUCCCGUAUUUUCUUCAGCCCAGCGCUAACACACCGGAUUCAACUCCUCAAGACCCUCUCCACCAUGAGAUAAUUAGCUAACUUGUUUGUUAGUGCUGGGCUGGAACAAAAAGGCUGCACAACCUGUUGCUCUCCAGGACAACAAUAUCGGUGACCACUGGCAUAGGCCUUGAAUCUGUCUGUCCAGCUCUGAUAGGACAGUAGGUCAUCUUUAGAGUCACCAGGCUUCCACUCGGCACUCUGUGGGGCUUGCCCAUUAUUUCUUCCCCCUAAUCCUAGAGAAGAAGUAAAUUACCUCAUUUGAUGAGUUAUGAUGAGGCCUCCUCAUUCAUUCAAAUCUCAAUGAGAUUAGCACACUCUGUAAUUGAUGAAUUUGAGGGAAUUUUCAAAGGAUUCGCGAGGAUUGCAACGGCUCCGGGGUUCUUUGUGUUUAACACAUUUAUUGAGUUCUAGAAAUUAGACAAUCCCGGGGAGAGCAAUGAAUAAUGUACGCUGGCAACAUUUUUUACUGAAGAGAAGUGACUUAUCGUGAUCAUUUCUGUUUCUUUAUAAUGGAAUUGAGAGGAACCAUGACUAUGCUGUGUCACCACUCAGGGAAGACACACUAGCCCUGGCAGAGUGUGUGUGUGUGUGUGUGUGUGUGUGUGUGUGUGUGUGUGUGUGUGUGUGUGUGUGUGUGUGUGUGUGUGUGUGUGUGUGUGUGUGUGUGUGUGUGUGUGUGCCCGCUUAGCCUAUGUGUUCUCUUAGCCUAUGUGUUCUGUUAGGCUAUGUGUUCUGUUAGCCUAUGUGUUCUGUUAGCCUAUGUGUUCUCUUAGCCUAUGUGUUCUCUUAGCCUAUGUGUUCUCUUAGCCUAUGUGUUUUGUUAGGCUAUGUGUUCUGUUAGCCUAUGUGUUCUGUUAGCCUAUGUGUUCUCUUAGCCUAUGUGUUCUCUUAGCCUAUGUGUUCUGUUAGCCUAUGUGUUCUCUUAGCCUAUGUGUUCUUUUAGCCUAUGUGUUCUCUUAGCCUAUGUGUUCUUUUAGCCUAUGUGUUCUCUUAGCCUAUGUGUUCUUUUAGCCUAUGUGUUCUCUUAGCCUAUGUGUUCUUUUAGCCUAUGUGUUCUCUUAGCCUAUGUGUUCUGUUAGCCUAUGUCUUCUCUUAGCCUAUGUGUUCUGUUACCCUAUGUGUUCUGUUAGCCUAUGUGUUCUCUUAGCCUAUGUGUUCUCUUAGCCUAUGUGUUCUGUUACCCUAUGUGUUCUCUUAGCCUAUGUGUUCUCUUAGCCUAUGUGUUCUGUUAGCCUAUGUGUUCUAUUAGCCUAUGUGUUCUGUUACCCUAUGUGUUCUCUUAGCCUAUGUGUUCUCUUAGCCUAUGUGUUCUGUUAGCCUAUGUGUUCUAUUAGCCUAUGUGUUCUGUUAGCCUAUGUGUUCUGUUAGCCUAUGUGUUCUGUUAGCCUAUGUGUUCUGUUAGGCUAUGUGUUCUCUUAGCCUAUGUGUUCUGUUAGCCUAUGUGUUCUGUUAGGCUAUGUGUUCUGUUAGGCUAUGUGUUCUGUUAGGCUGUGUUCUGUUAGCCUAUGUGUUCUGUUAGCCUAUGUGUUCUGUUAGCCUAUGUGUUCUCUUAGCCUAUGUGUUCUGUUAGCCUAUGUGUGUGCGCUACCCUGUGAGUGUUUACAGGGCCCUAUACGUACAGUACCCGUCAAAAGUUUGGACACACCUACUCAUUCCAGGGUUUUCUUUAUUUUUACAGUAGAAUAAUAGUGAACACAUCAAAACUAUAAAAUAACACAUAUGGAAUCAUGUAGUAACAAAAAAGUGUUAAACAAAUCAAAAUAUAUUUUCUAUUUUCGAAACUUCAAAGUAGCCACCCUUUGCUUGAUGACAGCUUUAGACAUUCUUUCAACCAGCUUCAUGAGAUAGUCACCUGGCAUGCAUUUCAAUUAACAGGUGUGCCUUUUUAAAAGUGUGUGCCUUUUAAAACAUUUGUGGCAUUUAUUUCCUUAAUGCGUUUGAGCCAAUCAGUUGUGUUGUGACAAGGUGUUCUUAGUGUGGUGCCAGGAAAAUAACCUCUCACUCAACGUCAACAAAACAAAGGAGAUGAUCGUGGACUUCAGGAGGGAGCACCCCCCUAUCCACAUCGACGGGACCGCAGUGGAGAAGGUGAAAGAUUCAAUUUCCUCGUCAUACACAUCACUGACAAUCUGAAAUGGUCCACUCACACAGACAGUGUGUUGGAGAAGGCGCAACAGAGCCUCUUCAACCUCAGGAAGCUGAAGAAAUUUGGCUUGUCACCUUAAACCUUCACAAACUUUUACAGGUGCACAACUGAGAGCAUCCUGUCAGGUUGUAUAACCGCUUGGUACGGCAACUGCACCGCCUGCAACUGCAGGGCUUUCCAGAGGGUGGUGAGGUCUGCCCAACACAUCACCGGGGGCCUCCAGGACACCUAUGUCACAGCACCCGAUGUCACAGUGUUACGGAUACAGGUAUCCUGUGUGAGUAUCCUGUGUGUGUGUUUCUUUUCUCUCCUUCUCCCCUCACAGGUGACAAUCAUCAUUCCCCAAUCAGUCACCAACCAAGACACCUGCUCCUUUUCCCUCAACCAAUCACAUCCCCUUGGUUUAAAACCCAGUCAGUAGUUUUCUCAACAGUUCAAUCUCUCUCUCUGUAGCUUGAUCUCUCUGUGUCAUUCAAACUCUCGCUCUCUCUCUAUGGAUUGAUCUCCCUUUUGUUUUUGCAACUACAUGUCACUUUGUCCAUCAGCCUGUGAGUAUUGUUUUUGUUAAAGUGUUGACUGUUUGUUUGAUGGUGGGAAAAAGGGGUACCAAGACAAGUCACCCAUGGGCAUACAAUACCCGUAGGAAUACUUUAUCUAAGUACACUAGUUAGAACUGGGCGGACCACCAACUGUAUUUUAUUGGUUAGUUAGCUAGCUGUGCUUGAAGCAGGUAGUCUAGCUUAGGGGUGUUUUUGAAUACUUAUUAUUUCUUUCCUUGGGUCUAGCUCAGCCCCUUUUCCCUCCCCCCUUUACCAUGUGUUUAAGCAAUAAACCAAUAGAGUUUGACCGUAAAUUUAAGUGGUAUGCGUUUAUUAGUUCUCACUGUUUCUUUUCACUAUUAUGAUUUGCAUGAGUUAUGUUACGGGUCUCGUUUCCACCUCCCCUAGACUGCAGGACCAAAGGGAUUCGUAACACACAGGAAGGCAAAAAAGAUAAUCAAGGACAACAACCACCCAAGCCACUGCCUGUUCACCCUGCUAUCAUCCAGAAGGUGAGGUCAUCAAAGCUGGGACCGAGAGACUUAAAAAAAACGCUUCUAUCUUAAAUAGCCAUCACCAGCACAUAGAGGCUGCUGCCUAUAUACAUAGACUUGAAAUCAUUGGCCACUUUAAUAAAUGGAACACUAGUCACUUUAAUAAUGUCCACAUAUCUUGCACACACAUUAACAAUCUCAUAUGUAUAUACUCGAUUCUAUACUAUUCUACUAUAUCUUAUUCUAUGCCGCUCUGACAUUGCUCAUCCAUAUACUUUUAUAUUCUUAAUUCCAUUCCUUUACUAGAUGUGUGUUUUAGGUAUACAGUGGCUUGCAAAAGUAUUCACCCCCUUGGCAUUUUUCCUGUUUUGUUGCCUUACAACCUGGAGUUAAAAUAGAUUUUUGGGGGGGUUGUAUCAUUUGAUUUACACAACAUGCCUACCACUUUAAAAAUAUGCAAAAUAUUUGUUAUUGUGAAAUAAACAAGAAAUAAGACAAAAAAAUGGAAAACUUGAGCGUGCAUAACUAUUCACCGCCCCAAAGUCAAUACUUUGUAGAGCUACCUUUUGCAGCAAUUACAGCUGCAAGUCUCUUGGGGUAUGUCUCUAUAAGCUUGGCACAUCUAGCCACUGGGAUUGUUGCCCAUUCUUCAAGGCAAAACUGCUCCAGCUCCUUCAAGUUGGAUGGAUUCCGCUUGGUUCCGCUGGUGUACAGCAAUCUUUAAGUCAUACCAUAGAUUCUCAAUUGGAUUGAGGUCUGGGCUUUGACUAGGCCAUUCCAAGACAUUUAAAUGUUUCCCCUUAAACCACUUGAGUGUUGCUUACACAGUAUGCUUAGGGUCAUUGUCCUGCUGGAAGAUGUACCUCCGUCCCAGUCUCAAAUCUCUGGAAGACUGAAACAGGUUUCCCCCAAGAAUUUCCCUUGAUUUGGCGCCAUCCAUCGUUCCUUCAAUUCUGACCAGUUUCCCAGUCCCUGCCGAUGGGAAAAACAUCCCCACAGCAUGAUGCUGCCACCACCAUGCUUCACUGUGGGGAUGGUGUUCUCGGGGUGAUGAGAGGUGUUGGGUUUGUGCCAGACAUACCGUUUUCCUUUUACCAAAAAGCUCAAUUUCUGUGUCAUCUGACCAGAGUACCUUCUUCCAUAUGUUUGGGGAGUCUCCCACGUGCCUUUUGGCGAACACCAAACAUGUUUGGUUAUUUUUUUCUUUAAGCAAUGGCUUUUUUUCUGGCCACUCUUCCGUAAAGCCCAGCUCUGUGGAGUGUACAGCUUAAAGUGGUCCUAUCGACACAUACUCCAAUCUCUGCUGUGGAGCAUUGCAGCUCCUGCAGGGUUAUCUUUGGUCUCUUUGUUGCCUCUCUGAUUAAUGCCCUCCUUGCCUGGUCCGUGAGUUUUGAUGGGCGGCCCUCUCUUGGCAGGUUUGUUGUGGUGCCAUAUUCUUUCCAUUUUUUUAAUAAUGGAUUUUAUGGUGCUCCAUGGGAUGUUUUUUUUAUUUCCCAACCCUGAUCUGUACUUCUCCACAACUUUGUCCCUGACCUGUUUGGAGAGCUCCUUGUUUUUCAUGGUGCCACUUGCUUGGUGGUGUAACGGCCGUCUGAAAGAGUAGGCCAAGGCGCAGCGUGGUUCGUGCUCAUCAUGACAUUUAUUUAAAUGAACACUGAAUCAAAAAACCAAAGUGCAACAGCUAAACAGUUCUGUCAGGUAACAAAUGACUAAACAGAAAAUAACCACCCACAAAACCCAAAGGAAAACAGGCUGCCUAAGUAUGGCUCCCAAUCAGCAACAACGAUAUACAGCUGUCCCUGAUUGAGAGCCAUACCCGGCCGAAACAAAGAAAUACCAAACAAAGAAAAAGGACAUAGAAUGCCCACCCCAACUCAGGCCCUGACCAACCAAAAUAGAGACAUAAAAUUAUGUGACUUCUGAAGGUAAUUGGUUGCACCAGAUCUUAUUUAGGGGCUUCAUAGCAAAUGGGGUGAAUACCUAUGCACGCACCACUUUUCCGUUUUUUAGUAUUUUUUAAAACAUGUUAUUUUUUUUAAUUUCACUUGACCAAUUUGGACAAUUUUAUGUCCAUUACAUGAAAUCCAAAUAAAAAUCUAUUUAAAUUACAGGUUGUAAUGCAACAAAAUAAGAAAAACACCAAGGAGAUGAAUACUUUUGUAUGUUGUGUAAUUGUUAGAUAUUACUUGUUAUAUAUUACUGCACUGUCAGAGCUAGAAGCACAAGCAUUUCGCUACACCCGCAAUAACAUCUGCUAAACACGUGUGUCUAAUAAAAUUUGAUGUAUUUUUAUUUGAUUUAGCUUUGUCUUUUUAAAAUAGACACAUAAAAAGAUUCUGGGGAUGAGCAUGCCCAUCUUCAAUAUGUACCUAUUGUUCCUCUUUUUAGUGUGAUUAACUAUUUGCCGCAAGUAAAAGCCCUGGGUGGUGAGUUGAUACAACUCCAAGUCUGGAAGGUUAAAACCACCCUCAGACUUUGGAAGAUGUAAAACUUUCCUUUUUAUUCUAUGAAUUUUAUUUGCCCAUAAAAAGUCUGUUAUGAUAGAGUAUACUUUUUUUAAAGAAUGUCUUUGGUGGGGCAAUUGGUAUCACCGAAAAUAAAUACAAAAACGUUGUCAGCCAUGCUAUUCUAAAGAAGUUUAUUCUACCUGUAAGAUUUAUUGGAUGAUUAUGCCAUUUAAUUAGAUCACACCCUGAUCUGUUACACCUGUCUUUGUGAUUGUCUCCACCCCCCUCCAGGUGUCACCCAUCUUCCCCAUUAUCCCCUGUGUAUUUAUACCUGUGUUCUCUGUUUGUCUGUUGCCAGUUCGUCUUGUUUGUCAAGUCAACCAGCAGUUUUGUCUCUCAGCUUCUGCUGUUCCCAGUCUUUUUUUUUAUUUUUUGCCCUCCUGGUUUUGACCCUUGCCUGUCCUGACCCUGCCUGCCGACCUGUACUUUUGCCCCACCUUUGGAUUAUUGACCUCUGCCUACCCUGACCCUGAGCCUGCCUGCCGUCCGGUACCGUUUCCCCAACCCUGGUUUACUGACCCCUGCCUGCCUUGACCUGUCUAUUGUCUGCCCCUGUUGGAUUAUUAAACCAUUGUUAAUUCGGCAUUGUCUGCAUCUGGGUCUUCCUUUCAUACCUGAUAUUCAUAUUGUUGAGUAAUGGAAUAGAGUUAUAUAUUUGUUUGUCACUUAUUCAGCAGCCUAAGUAUUUAAUAUUUAUUGUGGUCUACUUAAAGAAUUGCUGUAGUCCGUGAGUUAUUCUUUUUCCUAUUGCCAUAAUUUCAAUGUUUUUUUCCACGUUAAUUUUAUAUCCUGAGAUUUGAGUAUUCCAAAAAUAUUUUUAGCAAAGGGGGCAUUGAGUUUUCAAUUGUGGGCUGGUUAAAUAAAAAUAAAAAAAUAUCAGGAGAUCGUCUGUGAUAAGUUUAGUUUAUAUUCAUGGUUACCAAUACUGACACCUGACUUACGUUUGGGUCCUGUCUAAUUCUUUCUGCAAGUGGUUCAACUGCCAGUGCAAACAGAAGGGGG